rnacentral:misc_RNA from 1 species
CUUUGCAAUUUCAUCUUCAUUCAUUGUAGCUGAGCUUACCUCCCCCCCAACCCCCCGGUUAGUAAUUUUAACUCGUUUAUUAUUGUAUUUUGUAAUUUGAAUGAUCAAGCUUAUGUAGCUUUUGUGAAUCUGAUUUUUUUAACUAAGUUCUUUUUGGAGCUUGGAGGGUGGAAGAUGAGUAAGUAAAGGGAUUAGUAGUGUCUCUUUUUUUAGCUACGGGAAGUAUGACGACAAACAAAUAGAACUUAAUCAUGCUCAUUGGUGUAUUGAGUUGUGUAUAUUGAAGUUGCUAGAGUAAAGAAACGAGGGCAAACUUAGGAGUUAAAAAAAGAAUUAGUGGUCUUAAUGGAGGCAAAUGAUCCACGUAGCUGAGUCUAACUAGUUUAGAAUUAAGAUUUAGUUGGGUUGAUGUACAUUUCUAGUUGUUCUUAAUUCCAAGGUGAUUUAUGGUUGUUGAACUGUUCAAAUAUUGUCAAAACUCAAAAUCAAUAGUGAGCUCUUUAUUGACCAGACAAAAUAUAAUUAGUCUUUAACUUUCAUUGCUUGUCUUGCUUUAACCAAUGGCUUCAAUUAUUUGUCUUAUUACUCUGUAAUGGCUGGGGAUGGGAAUGAACAAUUUCGUUGAGUCAGUGCCUAUUGUGUUGCUGUCGGGCAAUGAAAUUUCUCAAAAAGCUUGCAUACUUACAAAUGACAACUAAACACAUUGUCCUUUGUGUGGUUGUAAUGGGCUUCGCCUUGAUCAUGUCUAUCACGUCCCAGUAGACUUGAUUAUUGGAAUGUACUUUAAUCUCUAUUGACACCCGCAUCGAGCUUCAUGAGGGUUUAAAAACACUAUUGACAUGUUACCCAUCUUACAUGGACAUGUGAUUGGUCUCUCUGGACUAUAAGUCUGUCAAUCAAUUGUGUAUUAAUCCCUUUUCUUAUCUUCUCUAUAUUUCUUUCUUGUUGAGGGAAAACAAGUGGAGGAGAAGAAGAGAAUUUUUAUACUUGUUACAGAGGUAGAUGAACUAAAAGCUUGUGAAUUUGGACAGUUCUUUAUGAUCCAAUAUUUCAUAAUUUAGCCUCUGUUUGGGAUGAAGUUUUAUAGAGUAAUGGGAAGCUUUUUCAAAGUUUCAAAACCUUGGAUAUUUGUUUGGGAGAACCCAUGAUUUUUCUAAAAUAAGAUUUUUGGAGGUUUUUAAAAAUCUUACCAAAAAAAUCUAUUUUCCAACCCUCCAAAUUGAUGGGUUGAGAAGGUUUUCUUUUAAAAUAUUCAAAUAUCUUGAAGAACUCUUUUCAUCUCAAACAAUAAAAAAUUAAAAGAAUAAAAAAUAAAGAAAAAUUUUACUUUAGAAAGCCUUGCUUUAAAUAACUUUAUCUCAUCUCAAGCAGAGUGUUAGGGGAAUGGGUCACUAGGAAGACUUCUUUAGAGAACAACAAACACCGGAGACAAAAGGGCAAAGAGGUGAACUGGAACUGCUAUAUCCAUCUGAUCCCCCAGCAACGCUCUCAUAAGAGAAGGCACUCUUUUUGCAAAAUAAUGUGUAUCUUUUUUAACAAGAUAUCUGUGGUUAAUUAGAGAAAUGUGCAAUUUUUCUAAAGAAUGAUCCAAUAGAUCCACAAGAACACAGUUGAUUCUGAUUUGUCAAAAAUCCAUUACAAAUUUGUGUCAUAAAUCUCAGUGGCUCCAUAAUGUUCAGUUUAGAGUUGCUGACAUUUAUCAUUUUAUCUUUUGACUGAUUUUGGCUAUGUACCUUUGGUUCUUCAGGCUGAUGUUUGCCAUGCUUAUCAACUCUUGAGGAAAGGUGGACUGAAGGAGGAAAAUAUCGUGGUUUUCAUGUAUGAUGACAUUGCUUAUAAUG